rnacentral:rRNA from 1 species
UUAGAACGUCGUGAGACAGUUCGGUCCCUAUCUGCCAUGGGCGUAGGAAAAUUGAGAGGGUUUGCUUCUAGUACGAGAGGACCGAAGUGAACGCACCGCUGGUGUUCGGGUUGUGAUGCCAAUUGCAUUGCCCGGUAGCUACGUGCGGAAUAGAUAAGUGCUGAAAGCAUCUAAGCACGAAACUAGCCUUAAGAUGAGUUUUCCCUGAAGAGAUUCAGUAAGGUUCGUUUGAGACUAAGACGUAGAUAGGUCAGGUGUGUAAGUGUAGUGAUACAUUGAGCUAACUGAUACUAAUGAACCGAGAGUCUUAACCUUACAACUCGGAGUUGUUUUGU